CCUACGGGAGACAGCAGUGGGGAAUAUUGGGCAAUGGGCGCAAGCCUGACCCAGCAACGCCGCGUGAAGGAAGAAGGCUUUCGGGUUGUAAACUUCUUUUCGCAGGGACGAAGCAAGUGACGGUACCUGAGGAAUAAGCUACGGCUAACUACGGGCCAGCAGCCGCGGUAAUACGUAGGGGGCAAGCGUUAACCGGAUUUACGGGGGGUAAAGGGCGUGUAGGCGGGACGGCAAGUCAGAUGUGAAAACCACGGGCUCAACCUGUGGCCUGCAUUUGAAACUGUAGUUCUUGAGUACUGGAGAGGCAGGCGGAAUUCCUAGUGUAGCGGUGAAAUGCGUAGAUAUUAGGAGGAACACCAGUGGCGAAGGCGGUCUGCUGGACAGCAACUGACGCUGAGGCGCGAAAGCGUGGGGAGCAAACAGGAUUAGAUACCCUUGUAGUC
rnacentral:rRNA from 1 species